AUUGAACGCUGGCGGCAUGCCUUACACAUGCAAGUCGAACGGCAGCACGGGAGCAAUCCUGGUGGCGAGUGGCGAACGGGUGAGUAAUAUAUCGGAACGUGCCCAGUCGUGGGGGAUAACGUAGCGAAAGCUACGCUAAUACCGCAUACGAUCUAUGGAUGAAAGCGGGGGAUCGCAAGAACUCGCGCGAUUGGAGCGGCCGAUAUCAGAUUAGGGAGUUGGUGAGGUAAAGGCUCACCAAGCCGACGAUCUGUAGCUGGUCUGAGAGGACGACCAGCCACACUGGGACUGAGACACGGCCCAGACUCCUACGGGAGGCAUCAGUGGGGAAUUUUGGACAAUGGGCGCAAGCCUGAUCCAGCAAUGCCGCGUGCAGGAUGAAGGCCUUCGGGUUGUAAACUGCUUUUGUACGGAACGAAACGGCGAGCUCUAAUACAGUUUGCUAAUGACGGUACCGUAAGAAUAAGCACCGGCUAACUACGUGCCAGCCGCCGCCGUAA
rnacentral:rRNA from 1 species